rnacentral:rRNA from 1 species
UACGUAGGGGGCUAGCGUUGUCCGGAAUCAUUGGGCGUAAGAGCGUGUAGGCGGCUCGGUAAGUCCGCUGUAAAAGUCAAAGGCUCAACCUUUGAAUGUCAGUGGAUACUGCCGGGCUAGAGUCCGGAAGAGGCGAGUGGAACUCCUGGUGUAGCGGUGAAAUGCGUAGAUAUCUGGAGGAACACCGGUGGCGAAAGCGGCUCACUGGACCUGAUCCGACACUGAGGUGCGAAAGCUAGGGUAGCAAACGGG